GUGCUCACUUUGGCAGCACAUACACUAAAAUUAGAAUGACACAGAGAAGAUUCACAUGGCCCCCGUGAAAGAAUGACACGCAAAUUUGUGAAGUGUUCCAUAUUUUU